CAGAGACAUUCUAGACUACAUUCACACAGAUCUAAUUCUGCUAUUUCGAGCAGAAUACCCACAGCAGCAACAGUAUCAGUGUGUGAUCCCAGGUGUUGACUAUGGAGUAGCUGAUUAUACACUGCCUCCCUCUUCAGCCCCAGCAGAGAGAGCAGACCGCCAGGCCACUGCUCCAGUCAGUGAGGACAGAGGAAACAGGUCAUUCAGGGGAAUGUUCCAGACAGGAACAGGCCAGUCUCUCUGAGAGGAAACAGGUCAUUCAGGGGAAUGUUCCAGACAGGAACAGGCCAGUCUCUCUGAGAGGAAACAGGUCAUUCAGGGGAAUGUUCCAGACAGGAACAGGCCAGUCUCUCUGAGAGGAAACAGGUCAUUCAGGGGAAUGUUCCAGACAGGAACAGGCCAGUCUCUCUGAGAGGAAACAGGUCAUUCAGGGGAAUGUUCCAGACAGGAACAGGCCAGUCUCUCUGAGAGGAAACAGGUCAUUCAGGGGAAUGUUCCAGACAGGAACAGGCCAGUCUCUCUGAGAGGAAACAGGUCAUUCAGGGGAAUGUUCCAGACAGGAACAGGCCAGUCUCUCUGAGAGGAAACAGGUCAUUCAGGGGAAUGUUCCAGACAGGAACAGGCCAGUCUCUCUGAGAGGAAACAGGUCAUUCACGGGAACGUUCCAGACAGGAACAGGCCAGUCUCUCUGAGAGGAAACAGGUCAUUCACGGGAAUGUUCCAGACAGGAACAGGCUAGUUUCUCUGAGAGGAAAUGUAAUGUGUACCUGUGAAGUUAGUGUUGAAAUUCACACUGCAGGUUUAGCUAGCCUGCACAACUAGAAACUGGUUCCACCAAACUGUUUCAUUCCAGAA